rnacentral:lncRNA from 1 species
AAACAUUACCACCGUAGCUGGUAUAGUUAAAUUUGCACAUCUUUACUCUGCCUAGUUGGGGUACACAUACACAGUCAUUUUAAAAGUUUGCACUGCUCUAUCCCAUACAGGAGGACAUAUAGGCUGUAUUGCUAUGGGGUACCUUUGCAAAACUUAGCUAAAUUCAGGUUAGCAGUUGUGCUAGCAUAGUUAUUUUAGAGAACAGUUGUAUUCUGUGUACAAUUUUAAGUGACAAAAAGAUUACACAGAGUUGUGUGGAUCAGUGCAGUCAUUGGAAUGUAACAGUGUUUUCUUACCUGUAUUAGCUGAACAUGAAAUCGAGGUUUUUCUUUCUGCCUUCCUAGGAACAUUUGCCCCACUCAGAGUGCUGAUGCCAUCCCCCAGCAUGCUGUGAAAUAGUCUAAUAGCCUGGCACACAAAAGAAAGGGGAACAAAGUUUUUAUUUCAUGAAAAUGUGGUUCACUUGUCCCAGUGUGUCCAGUUGAAUCAUUCAAAUUUGUGUUGAAACCUAACAGACAAGCGACAGGAAGUUUAUGAGCCUCAGGGAGACUUGUCCUAGCAAUUCUUAGGCAGUGUGAGCAGCUCACUGUACCUUCAGGAUCACGCUGUCUUUCACAGGAUGUAAAGCCUCCUGAAAUUGCUAUUCUGUCAGUGUUGCCUCUCUUAAUCCUAAAACAUUUCAUCAUGGAAGUACUGUGGAAGUACAUGGAUGCAGAGGAGAUAACGGAGUCAUUUGGAGGCAACGGGCUGCAUCGACUCUCAGCCCCUCAGCAAAUCAAAAUCUUAAUGAUCCUCAACUCCUUUGUGAACUUAACUGUGUUUAAAAAUGGAGUUAGAGUGCUAGUGCCAGCAGAAGAAUGCAGACUAUAUAAACAUAAACUGUCAGUUUUAAGAAUGGAAAGUUCCUAA